rnacentral:snRNA from 1 species
AUACUUACCUGGCAGGGGAAACUCCGUGACCACUAAGGCAGCUUUCCAAGUCACUGGGGAUAACCAUUUUUCUGGCAAGAGGUAGUACCUGGGCAGAGGUAACAUAUAGUUAACCUCCCAUUUUCAUUUCCAGUGGGAAGAUCUUGGCUUUAUGCCCACUUUAUGGAAAUGGGAGACUCCUCCCU